ensembl:lncRNA
CCUCAUUUUACUGCAUUUGUUUUACCGUGGAAUCUUUGUAAAAAACAGAAAUUUAUAGAAUACACAGUGAAAAAAUAGGAAGUUUUCUGUCAUAUAAUUAUUUGUUUGUUGCUUUAGUGUAGAUACAUUCCCAGCAGGUCCCUGAGGUCAUGUGACCAGGGCUUGCUGGCUGUCCAACACACGAGGCUGAAAACAAAAGGCGACAAAGCUUUUGUAACUGUGGCCCCCAGAUUGUGGAACUCUCUCCCUUUGAGCCUGAGAUCUGUGGACUCAGUGGUCUCUUUUAAAAAACAGCUAAAAACUCAUCUUUUUAAACUUGCUUUUGGUUGAUUUUUAUUUUUAGGUUUUAGCCUCUGUGAAGCACUUUGUGAUUUUUAUCUUGAAAGGUGCUAUAUAAAUAAAGUUUUACUUACUUACUUUACUUAGUAUGAGUGACUGUGAGGAGGGUCUUUAUCAGUAGUACAAGCUGUAAAAGUUAUGAAAACACAAUUAAAAGUCCUAAAUGUAUGCCCUCUUUUCCAAAGAGGUCCAGUGGGUCAAAUCGAAUCCUUUGCGAACCAAUUCUGGCCCCCAGCAGUGUAUGAUUGAUUGAUUGAUUGAUUGAUAUACCUUUAUUAGUCCCACAAGGGGGAAAUUUCAUAAGGCUGCCGACCUAUUGCACGCAAUGGCGGCGCCAUCUUACCCUCCGACCAUACAUACAUUACACAAAACAUCACAUGGGGAAGACAGGUCAGAGGGGUAUAACAUGGAAAAGCACAACAUGAGGAAAGAUAAGGAGAAAAAAAUAACUCCCCCCAGACUGAGCUCCAACAGGGAGAUCAGUUUGGGAACAGAAAAAAACACCUCUGCACAUAGCACAUGAAAAAACUCUUAAUACACCAAAGAAACACAUGACAAGCAACAGGGGCGGGUAAAGGGUGAGAGACAGCCGAUUUAGACAGUACAUCCGGGCCUGCAGCCUGUGCGCUGGUCUCCAUGAUCCACCGUCAGCAUCGGAAGGGAAUAAGCGUCGAAGGCGUUUGGAAAGGAGGGGGAUGAGUGUGUGCAUAUCAGUGUAUAUGUGUGUGUGUGCGUGUCAGAGUUCAGCUGAGACAGUGUCCUUCGCCCUGCCAGGCUAAGUAAACAGUCUUCCAGCCAACCCAGGUGGCCUUGCAUAGAAUAGGAAGGAACAGACUAAACACAGUCUGUAAUCAGGGUGUUGUUGUACAGCUCCAGCCUUGCAACCGCAGCUGGCGCGAGAAGGUAUCCACAUGAAGUGAAGGUGCUUUUUACUUUAGUGCAAACAGCUUAUAUGAAUUUCAAAGCAGUUCUACAGUCCAACACUGGUCUCUCAAUCUCCCGUUGGAGAGCAUGAGCUUUGCCAUACUUGCGUUCUGUGAUGUUGUCAUUCUUGUGCUCAAGGAGCUGAUUCUGAAAAACUCACGACAGUGUGCCUCCCGAGAUGUCAUCCAAUUUACGCUCAGAGAUGUUAUGCCGAGCGAGCCCUUCCCGAGAUGUAAUCCAGUCUGCACUCAGAGAUCUUAUUCUGAGUAUUCACAGCAGCCGUAGCCUUUCCAAGAUCUUAUCUGUGCUGCACUCAAUGAGCCCAUUUUGAGAAACUCACGCCUCGUCCCAUCGUUUCAAUUCCGGCGGGCAGCCUUGUGGAGGUUUGAACAGCCGGUUCCGCUUUCUUAAUUCUUCGAUAAGCCAGGGCCAAGCCAGCUCCGAUCAGCCAGAACCCUGUUAUCAUGGUUCCGAAUAGGUAGAAAUCUUCAGCAGUCAGGCUCACCCAAGCCCAGACUUCUCGUUGAGAAAGGGGUGUCAAUUGCAUUCAGAGACCAGUUGAUCAAAUCCAUAAUUCCUCUUUUAGGUUUUAGAAAACAGACUGUGAGAGAUUGUUCCAGGGAAAAGUCAUACAAAAAACACGAGACUAGACGAGGACAUAAGAGGCUAAGCAGGGAAGCUAAGGGAGAGGAGGAGGAGGAGAGGAGAAAAAUGCGACCGCCUUCGUCAAGAGCAAG